rnacentral:rRNA from 1 species
ACGGGAGGCAGCAGUGAGGAAUAUUGGUCAAUGGACGGAAGUCUGAACCAGCCAAGUCGCGUGAAGGAAGACGGUUCUAUGGAUUGUAAACUUCUUUUGCCUGAGGGCAAAGUGACCUACGUGUAGGUUAUUGCAAGUAUCAGGUGAAUAAGCAUCGGCUAACUCCGUGCCAGCAGCCGCGGUAAUACGGAGGAUGCGAGCGUUAUCCGGAUUUAUUGGGUUUAAAGGGAGCGUAGGCGGCCUUUUAAGCGUGUUGUGAAAUGUCCCGGCUCAACCGUGGCACUGCAGCGCGAACUGGAGGGCUUGAGUGCGCAGGAAGUAGGCGGAAUUCGUCGUGUAGCGGUGAAAUGCUUAGAUAUGACGAAGAACUCCGAUUGCGAAGGCAGCUUACUGUAGCGUAACUGACGCUGAAGCUCGAAAGUGCGGGUAUCGAACAGGAUUAGAUACCCUGGUA